ACGGGUGAGUAACACGUGGGCAACCUGCCUAUAAGACUGGGAUAACUUCGGGAAACCGGAGCUAAUACCGGAUACGUUCUUUUCUCGCAUGAGAGAAGAUGGAAAGACGGUUUACGCUGUCACUUAUAGAUGGGCCCGCGGCGCAUUAGCUAGUUGGUGAGGUAAUGGCUCACCAAGGCGACGAUGCGUAGCCGACCUGAGAGGGUGAUCGGCCACACUGGGACUGAGACACGGCCCAGACUCCUACGGGAGGCAGCAGUAGGGAAUCUUCCGCAAUGGACGAAAGUCUGACGGAGCAACGCCGCGUGAACGAAGAAGGCCUUCGGGUCGUAAAGUUCUGUUGUUAGGGAAGAACAAGUACCAGAGUAACUGCUGGUACCUUGACGGUACCUAACCAGAAAGCCACGGCUAACUACGUGCCAGCAGCCGCGGUAAUACGUAGGUGGCAGCGUUGUCC
rnacentral:rRNA from 2 species